GAGCCCGCACAAGCAGUGGAGUAUGUGGUUUAAUUCGACGCAACGCGAAGAACCUUACCGGAACUUGACAUCCGCGGAAGGCCGAUGUAAUGUCGGCCGUGCCCUUCGGGGAGCCGCGAGACAGGUGGUGCAUGGUUGUCGUCAGCUCGUGUCGUGAGAUGUUGGGUUAAGUCCCGCAACGAGCGCAACCCUUACGGUCAGUUGCUACGAGAGAGCACUCUGGCCGGACUGCCGUUGACAAAACGGAGGAAGGCGGGGACGACGUCAAAUCAUCAUGCCCCUUACGUUUCCGGGCUACACACGUACUACAAUGGCGCAAACAAAGGGAAGCGAGAGCGCGAGCUGGAGCAAACCCCGAAAAAGGCGUCCCAGUUCGGACUGCAGGCUGCAACCCGCCUGCACGAAGUUGGAAUUGCUAGUAAUCGCGGAUCAGCAUGCCGCGGUGAAUACGUUCCCGGGCUUU
rnacentral:rRNA from 1 species